AAUUGUUCUUAUCUUCUCAUUCAAUAGCUGGGCUGAGAAAAGAGAAGCACUGAACCUUGUAAUCCCUGAAGAUAAGGAAGACAUGAGGAAAUUAAUGGAUGUGUACAAGACACCACAGAAGUGAAAGAGACUUUUCUGUAUGACCACCGUGCCACAGCGGGUCAUCACCCCCUUCAAAGAGGAGGAUGAGUGGGACAGCCUGCACAGUGUCAGGUACUGUGAUCUCAUGUCUGAUGAGGAAAUCAGGAAUAUCAAGGAGAUUGCAAAACCCAAACAAUGGAUGAGAGUUCCCAUUGCUCCACAUCCUUGCCAGUAUUUGGUGUUGCCAGU